GGAAAAUUUGCCGUGUGGGCGGAGCUAUUGCAAGGGGGCGUGGCGGAGGUAUUCCAGGGGGCGGGGCGGCUUUCUCUUGCUGGGAAGCCUCGCGGGCUGGAAUAAUGAAUGAGGCACAGACCGAGCGCCCAGUGGGGUUAUUGUGCGCGUGUGUGUGUGUUCGCGCACGGAACGCCUUCAAAGUUCAGUCGCACAUUCCGAUAGCGAGACAAGAGAUGUAGAAGCGGAGCGUCGGGACACGUGGAGGAGGAUUCCGUCUCUUCUUUCCCCCCGUGCCGUGUUAGGACUUCAGUGGCUCGCGAGGAGCGCGUUCCAGCGCAGAUCGUUUGUCCGGCAGCGCGCAGGAGCUCUUUGUGAAGAAGGUGCUGGGACCCUGGCUCUGUGAAGGGGGCGUCCACGCGUUGCAUAACAGGGUCUUGGUCAAGCCCUGGACCAUGGAAAUGAGACAGAGGAGAACCUGAUGGGGUCAGAAUGGAGGUUUUGAUAGGGUCGCUGGAAAGGAAGUUGCAGAGACCGCUCCUGGCCAAGUCACGGACACUUCCGAGCAUCCCUCAGUCCCCGACCGUCUCACGAGUGCACCGCUCGGACCUAGUGAGCGGCAGUCCUUCUCGCAGAAAACCUCUUUUCAGCACCAACCACCCCAAGGCGUGCACGCUGCCCCCUGCAGGAGAAGCGUGGAGGCUGGAGGACGACAACGACGAGGAGGGCGGCGAGGCCGAGGCCGGCCGACUGCGCGCCGAGGCCCGACCGCGCUCCCAGUCGCCCUUCUCGCAGCUCCGCUCUCGGGCCGCCUACCUGCGUAAGAGCGCCUCCGUGGACGACCAUCUGGGAUCGUCGGAAUUUGGGACGGCACCGGCGGAGAACAAGAGCCAUCGCGCCGGCAAGGGGAAGCUCAAGAGGAAGUUCGUAAGUUCUGGUUUCCCUCAACCUCUUCGCAGUCGGUUGAAUGCGUGACGGUGUUUCCGGGAACGCGUGGAGAUGUGUGUCAGCACGUGGGGGCGCGAGGGAGUCCGCGGGAACUUCUGGGACCGUGACGGAAGGUGCGGGAACCUGCUGGAAUCUGCAGGAAUAUACCAGAACGCGUGACUCUCCUUUAGGAGUCUCUAGCAGGUCAGAGUGGAGAGAAAAAGGCGGUCGAUGAUCGUCGAGAUGAGGGUUCUUGUUCAAACAGCCCUGUGGUUAUAAUUAGUUCUAACGGCGCUUUUGUGUGCUUUAGAUCGGUAUUGAGGUAAUUGCACAUAAUGCACUAUAAGCAAGCUUUUGAAAGGAGUGUUAGCAAGGUGCCCAGAAUGUGCUACGAUCAAUAGAGGGCGAUUACAUUCAAGGUGGCCUGGAGAACCUGACCGCACUGACUAAUGCCUGGCAUUUUUUUUUCCUUCCUUUUCCAUUGAGGAGACGGACAGCGAUUUCAUUUGAACGGAUUACUUCUGCUCGCAGAAAAUGUUUGGCAGGAAAACAAACUGAGAAAACCAGAAUGCAAACCUGCAACCAGACAGGUUCUUAGCUGUUGUCAUGGAAAUGUCACCCCCCCCCCCCCCAAACCCAAACCUUCCUAUGCUUGUUGGUCCCUUUCCUCUGCUGUAAUCUGGACUCUGUCUCCAAUGAGACACUUUAAGGACUGAUUUUUCUUUUUUCUUGUAAACAAAUCUGAAUGUUAAUUCUGCUCCGGGUGAAAUCGGAUCACACGGCUAUUGGCGCCACUCUCGCGAUCCUCUCAGCGCUCAUCCCACACACUCCCUUGAAUAUAACCUGCUUCGCUGCAUCGUUUCCCGCUGUGUCUAAUUAGAACCAAACUUAAGAUCGUUUUCCUUGAUUAAACUCCAGCAAAGGAAGGGUUUCGAAGCCCUCGUGCCAGUUGCAAGUUUCCAGCUUGAAACUCCAAAUGGAAAAUAUAACAUAUAGUUCGCAAAACUUUGUGGGGC
ensembl:lncRNA